rnacentral:lncRNA from 1 species
CAUAAAGCAGUGAAGCUAAACCCUGAUUUCAACGAUGCAAAGGAGAACUUCUAUCGUGUGGCAAACUGGUUGGUAGAGCGCUGGCACUUCAUCAUGCUUAAUGACACCAAGAGAAAUGAGAUUUAUAACGCGGCAAUCCAGAAGGCAGUGCGGUUGGGCUCCAAAACAGUGCUGGACAUUGGCGCCGGCACUGGGAUACUGAGGUCUGUUGUAGUUAUGAUUUCCUACUAUAUUUACAUUAGUAUAUAAAAAUAGCAGUUGUUUCUCACAGUAUUUUAGGGUUAUUGAUACAUCUUUUAGUAUUGUACUUUUUAACUAUGAUUUUACUUAUCAAAAGUUCAAGUAAACUAAGAAAUGCUCAGGAUUAUUGAAAAUCUGAAUAAUGAGAUGAAGAUAUUUUUAUAUUAAAAUUGAGGAAAUCCUAUUAAGCACCUCAUUGCCAGUCAUAUUCUAAAUGUGUGCGCGCUGAUCCGGGCAUGGUGACACACGUCUUUAAUCCCAGCACUGGAGAAGCAGAGGCAGGAGCAUCUCUGAGUUUGAGGCCAGUUUGGUCUACAUAAUGAGUUCUAGGACAGCCAGUGCUAUGUAGAGAGACCUGUCUCAAAAGCCAAAGGCAAAACAAAA